AACGAACGCUGGCGGCAGGCUUAACACAUGCAAGUCGAACGCCCCGCAAGGGGAGUGGCAGACGGGUGAGUAACGCGUGGGAAUCUACCCAUCUCUGUGGAAUAGCUCCGGGAAACUGGAAUUAAUACCGCAUACGCCCUACGGGGGAAAGAUUUAUCGGGGAUGGAUGAGCCCGCGUUGGAUUAGCUAGUUGGUGGGGUAAAGGCCUACCAAGGCGACGAUCCAUAGCUGGUCUGAGAGGAUGAUCAGCCACAUUGGGACUGAGACACGGCCCAAACUCCUACGGGAGGCAGCAGUGGGGAAUAUUGGACAAUGGGCGCAAGCCUGAUCCAGCCAUGCCGCGUGAGUGAUGAAGGCCUUAGGGUUGUAAAGCUCUUUCACCGGUGAAGAUAAUGACGGUAACCGGAGAAGAAGCCCCGGCUAACUUCGUGCCAGCAGCCGCGGUAA
rnacentral:rRNA from 1 species